UACGUAGGGUGCAAGCGUUAAUCGGAAUUACUGGGCGUAAAGCGUGCGCAGGCGGUUAUGUAAGACAGUUGUGAAAUCCCCGGGCUCAACCUGGGAACUGCAUCUGUGACUGCAUAGCUAGAGUACGGUAGAGGGGGAUGGAAUUCCUGGUGUAGCGGUGAAAUGCGUAGAUAUCAGGAGGAACACCGGUGGCGAAGGCGGCUCUCUGGACCACAACUGACGCUGAGGCGCGAAAGCUAGGGGAGCAAACAGG
rnacentral:rRNA from 1 species